rnacentral:rRNA from 1 species
CAUGCAAGUCGAACGAGAAUCUGUGGAAAGAGGAUUCGUCCAAUUGAAGCAGAGGACAGUGGCGGACGGGUGAGCAACGCGUGAGGAACCUGCCUUUCAGAGGGGGACAACAGUUGGAAACGACUGCUAAUACCGCAUAACAUAUAGAUGUCGCAUGGCAUUUAUAUCAAAGAUUUAUCGCUGAAAGAUGGCCUCGCGUCUGAUUAGCUAGUUGGUGAGGUAACGGCCCACCAAGGCGACGAUCAGUAGCCGGACUGAGAGGUUGAACGGCCACAUUGGGACUGAGAUACGGCCCAGACUCCUACGGGAGGCAGCAGUGGGGAAUAUUGGGCAAUGGGCGCAAGCCUGACCCAGCAACGCCGCGUGGAGGAAGAAGGCUUUCGGGUUGUAAACUUCUUUUGUCAGGGACGAGUAGAAGACGG